AAACGUUGUCCUUGUGGCUGUGUUUAGACUAGAGCAUCUACUUCUGAUUUUCAAUAUUUUCAGUGUUACACGUGAAGAAUUCGUUGUUUUGUUAUUAUUUACUUAUUAAUUAGGUCUAUUAGUUACUUUUUACUUUAUAUUCUUUAAGAUUUGCGUUACAUCUUCGACUUUUUAACUUCAGUGGCGAUUCGACUAACUUGAGUUGGUCAGUUAUCUUCGCACGGUUGGCGGGGCCAGUGUUGAGGACUCAACAAGACGGAUCCUUGUAAGACUAUUCAAAAAUGAGCUUGCGAGAGAAUUUAGUUGGGAAGGAAGAGGACGAAAGAAGUGGAGUCUGCAGAACUCUGCAUUGGUGCAGUUGAUUUGCCGUGUAGUUCGUCAACAACACCCGUCCUCAUUCGAUCUCACAACGUUUGAGAAAAAAACCAGCGAAUGGUUACGCCAAGCAGGAACAAGGAUUUAUGUCUAAAAUAAAAAUUUAGGCCUACCGCAGAUGAUCAAUUAAAUAGUUUUUUCUUGACAUUUCUUCAUUGUUUCAUUUAUAUGUUCCUUUAAAAAGUGUGUUAAUAAACAACAGAAACAAUUUUAUAAAAACAACUUUUAUACUUGAAUGUAUUAGGGUACUUGUGAUUACAUCUGAACAAAUAUUUUUACUCAUUUUUUGUAUUUUUGUGCAUUUAUUUUUUGUUUUUUUAUUGUGCAAGUAUUUUUUGUGCACAAUUUAGAAUAGGU